CAAUCGAAAAAUGUUAGAACUCUCAACUAAUUGAUUGAAAUUGCAUCAAAACACAUGAUAUCCACCCAUUCAUCUUCCACAAUGUAACAGAACUAAACCAAAACCCACGAAAUAAAACUCAAGGUCAAUUAGAUACAAAAGGCUAGUACUUCAACAAUAAAUUCACACUCUAAAGUUUAUCCCCUUCACUGCAAAAAAAUUAAUGACUGAUGUAUACGCAUAACAGAACAGAUCAAGCAGGUUCUACACGUAAAUUCCUGCCUCAGGUUCAAAAUCAAGAACCUCAAACACCAACACAGCAGAAUACAAAGAAUCAGGAGAUAAAUUAACACAUCAAAAGAAAACAUCACUUGAAGAAAUGACAAGCAAAUGAAACCGGUAAAAGUAUUUUGAUCUCCACGAAAUAUACAUAAAAAAAUUACUUUAAAGCAAACAAAGUCCACUAAGAUCUAACAAUAAAAACAAACAAAUCAUCCCAAAAAAAUUCCCAAGACAAUAAUUAAACAAAAAAAAUAAUCAAAGCCCGUGAACAUAAUCCACAAAGAAAAUCUAAAAUUACCCCUCCAAAAAAAUAUGACAAACCAAACCGGAUACAAAAAUCAAAGCUUCAAUAGAUCCAACACAACCCAGAAGCCAAUACACACAAAUUAUCUCAAAAUCCCCAAAAAGUUUCAAUCUUUGCAUGCUUGAAUAAAAAAAAUAGAUGCAAACUUU